rnacentral:rRNA from 1 species
AACGUAGGUUCCGAGCGUUAUCCGGAUUUACUGGGCGUAAAGCGCGUUCAGGCGGUUUGGCAAGUCGGGCAUGAAAUCUCUCGGCUCAACCGGGAGAGGUUGUCCGAUACUGCUGGACUUGAGGGCAGUAGAGGGUGGUGGAAUUCCGGGUGUAGUGGUGAAAUGCGUAGAUAUCCGGAGGAACACCAGUGGCGAAAGCGGCCACCUGGACUGUACCUGACGCUGACACGCGAAAGCUAGGGUAGCAAACGGG